AGCAGUCGCCGCGGUAAAACGUAGGGGGCAAGCGUUAUCCGGAAUAACUGGGCGUAAAGGGUGCGCAGGUGGUUUAACAAGUUAGUGGUGAAAGGCAUAGGCUCAACCAAUGUAAGCCAUUAAAACUGUUUAACUUGAGUGCAGGAGAGGAAAGUGGAAUUCCUAGUGUAGCGGUGAAAUGCGUAGAUAUUAGGAGGAAUACCAGUGGCGAAAGCGGCUCUCUGGUCUGUAACUGACGCUGAGGCUCGAAAGCGUGGGGAGCGAACAGGAUUAGAUACCCCAGUAGUCCCUGUCUCUUAUACA
rnacentral:rRNA from 1 species